GGUGAGCGUGUGGUAAACGGUCUGCAAAACCGCGUACACGGGUUCGAUUCCCGUCGUCGCCUCCA
rnacentral:tRNA from 1 species